rnacentral:misc_RNA from 1 species
AACGCACAUUGCGCCCCUUGGUAUUCCAUGGGGCAUGCCUGUUCGAGCGUCAUUUGUACCCUCAAGCUAUGCUUGGUGUUGGGUGUUUGUCCUCUCCUUUGCGAUUGGACUCGCCUUAAAGACAUUGGCAGCCAGUGUAUUGGUCUUGAAGCGCAGCACAUUUUGCGAUUCUUGCUGAUAAUCACUAGCGUCCAGUAAGCCUAUUUUAACACUUUUGACCUCGGAUCAGGUAGGGAUACCCGCUGAACUUAA